GAAACGGAAUACCGUCCCACGUGAUUCAGCAGCACUCAAGGCAGCGCCCGGGAACUUCUGAUACCAAACUCCGCAAACAGUGACGCAGACCUCAUGCUUGCAGACCACACGCUUCCAUACAGACCUCAGCUGCCAAGCGCACUGUGAGCCCCACAGGUGGACCACCGUGAAGUUACAAACUCUGGACAUUAUGAAUACAACAAAUACAAGAUGACUCUGAAAGGCAGAGAGAAGGAGGCAGACUGGCUAGGGACCUGGGACAUGAGGAACGACAGAGCAUUUCAGAACCAAAUGAGAGGGUUGGAAAAUUUUGUUUCUCCCAUCUGUCUUUCUUCUGGAACAACUGUUCUACCGGCAAAAUGACGCUUUGUUUACAUCAGCAUAUCCCAAGCUGGAGUUUGGAAGAACUACACCUAGAAGAUGUUGUGUAGUCAAACUGUAUGGAAAACUCUAAGUUUCCUUCUGCAGGGCUUCUUGGAUACUUUAUAACGCUAAAAUGCACUGUGAGUCUGCAAAAGUGAGGGUUAAAACAGUUUCAAAACUGAUAGAGCUAUUGUCUCUUCUGUCCCAGAAGGCUUAUCAUCCCCAUCUUCAUGAAUAGCAUCCAGUGGAAUAUGCGUGAGAAAAACUAAUUGCUAACUUGUUAGUGAUCAGUCACAUUUUAACAAAUUCAGUAUAGAUACUUUCCAUAUCAUUAAUAUAAAAUUUAAUCUGGCAUAAGCAUUUUUACUUAUAAUGUUAUACUACCUUCAUCAUUACAUUAGGA